AUGGGACAGUCUGCUCGUGAAAUUAACGAACAAGUGGCAGGGCAUUCCACACACACACACGCGCGCGUACCCUUAAAUGUAGUUCUCAGGGAGAUUCGGUGUGACACGGAAUGUGACAAGCACGGCCCUUUGGAAUACAGGUAGCACUCGUUAUUGACAGCCGGGUGAACUGAAACAAACAUAGAGUAAAAGGUCUUGCUCAAGGAGACACCGCGCUGUGGGGAAUCGAACUCACGACCUAACGAUCGUCAGCUGAAUACCCUGGCCACUUGGCCACAUACACUCGUAUUGACAUAGGCGGCGCGCUGGCAGAAUCGUUAGCACGCCGGGCGAAAUGCUCAGCGGUAUUUCGUCUGCCCGCUACGUUCUGAGUUCAAAUUCCGCCGAGGUCGACUUUGCCUUUCAUCCUUUCGGGGUCGAUUAAAUAAGUACCAGUUACGCACUGGGGUCGAUAUAAUCGAUUUAAUCCGUUUGUCUGUCCUUGUUUGUCCCCUCUGUGUGUAGCCCCUUGUGGGUAGUAAAUAAAUAACACUCGUAUUGACAUACAUACAUACAUACAUAGAAGGAAAAGGCAGAAGUAAAAACAAGAAAAUAGACAGAGAAUGAGAAAGAAACAAGAAAUGGGAAAGAAAAAGGUUAAGAGAUAGAAAGAGAAAAAUAGAUUAUAAGAGACACAGAAAGAAGUAUAAAGGGGGAGGGGCAAGAGAGGGGAAAAAGAGUUGCAGUAUAGGGGAAAGAGAGAGAGAGAGAGAGGCACUCACAUAUGAGAUAGUGAGAUACAGAAUGAACGUUGUACAAUGAAAGAUAGGGAUAGAUAGAGAGACAGAUAGAGGAAGAGAUGAUGAUGGUGAUGAUAAUCAUCAUCAUCAUCAUCAUCAUCAUCGAUAUCGUCUACAUCAUCGUCAUCGUCAUCAGAACUUCUGUUUCAGAAUGAGACGUAGAUGUUGGAUUUCCGAAUGACUUGAAGGUGACAGAAGAAGAAAGAAAAAAAAUGAUAGCAAGAAUGAAUAAAAAAUAAAAGACUGAAUGAAGAGGAGGCGGAAACAAAACAAAAAAAAAACCCCCAUUGACGUUUGCGCGUGUAAGCGUAUAAGCGCGCGCGCAUGAGUGCUGCGGCUAUGCGUGUGCGUUUGUGUAUUUGCAAUUGUGCGUAUAAAUAUGAUCUGUUGCACAGAGAGAAGGAGAGAGAGAGAGAGAGAGAGAAGAGAAGAGAAAAGAGAAGAGACGAGAAAGAAAAUGUUAUAAAUUCAUUACAAGGAAAAGCAGAAGAGGAGACACAGAACGGACCAGCAACAACAGAACGGUGGUGGUGACAGUAGUAGUAGAAGUAGUAGUAGUAGCAGAAGUAGUAGUAGUAGUAGUAGUAGUAGUAGUAGUUGUAGUAGUAGUAGCAACAGCAGUAGCAAACGGUGGUGGCAGCAGUAGUUGUGGUGGUGGUGGCGGUUGCGGUGAUGAUAAUGUUCAUUCAUGUUUCAAGCCAGCAACAACAACAACAACAAACAUUAGGCAGCAGCAUCAUCAUCAUCAGCAGCAGCAAGGCCAGCAAUUUCAGGGCAAGGAGUAAGCUGAUUAUAUUGACCCCAGAGCUCAACAAGUAAUCUCAAUGACUCUGAAAGGAAGGAAAGCAAAGUUGACCUCGGUAGCAUUUGAACUCAGAAUGUAAAAAGACAGACAAAAUGCCGCUAAGCAUUUUGCCUGGUGUGCUAACAAUUCUACCAGACUGAAAUUGGGGGGGGGGGAGCAGGGUUAGUUGAUUACAUCAACCCCAGUGCGCAACUGGUACUUAUCCCACUGACCCUGAAAGCAUGGAAGGCAUAGCUGACCUCAACGGCAUUUGAACGUGAAGAUGGAUGAAAUGUCACUAAGUAAGUAAAUAUUUUGUCUGUUGUGCUAAUGAAUCUGCCAGCAGAAUCUGUCAGCAGAAUUUGAACUCAGAAUGUGGUGACAGAUAAAAUACCACUGUAGGGUGUCAGGGAAGCCAUAUUUCAUUAUCACAGCUGUGCUUUGGCAAUGGCAGCCAAUCAGAUCUGGUAGUGUAUCUAUAAAAACAGCAGUCAUCAGCCCAUCAAGGGAGCAUGCCUUUUUGGCAGUCAGUUAGCAGAAGACUUCAACGCCACAACUGUCAGCGAACAGAUCUCCAUGAUCAUUGGUGAACAGAUCCUACGACCAUCAGCAAACAGAGCUGCACAACUGUCAGUUGACAGAUCUCCACAACCGACAGUGGACAAAUCUUGAUAUUUCAUACCAGCCUUCGUACCACCAGCUACUACCUGUUCGUUUUUCUUACAUCCUUAGCACUGAAAACUCCUAACUUACUUAUGCAAUUUGUAAGUUUUCAUGGCUCCCCUCUGACUCCUACACAUAUGCACUCACUUUGCCCAGCACUUGUUAACAACCCAAAUAAAUUGCUAUGCUUUAAAAAUAAAA